GUAUUGAUUGCAUGAUGAAGCGAAUGGGGACAGAUUACUCUGUUUGGCUAUGUUCUGUCUUAGAUAAUAAGAUUUGCUCAUGAAGGAUGGAGAUAAGAUGCGAGCGAAUUUGAUCAAUCAUUGUACGCAAGUCCGGUCAAAAAGAUUUCGCGAGUUCAAAAACGUAUUUCAUACUGUGCUGAAAAAGGGAGGGGGGUGGCCAGCUCAAAGAAUAUCUUUCUUCUUAGUACAGCUCACAAGACCUAAUGCUUUUGAACGAUAUUACAAGUGUGACUUCAACACACAGCUUGUGUAAUAUUUCAAUGAGCUAGGCUAUACUGCGUGCCUGUACCGCUUUGUUCCUAGAGAUCAGCGAUUGCGGGUUGACUUGUUUCGUAGACUAACGUUACGUACAUUAUGGAUCAUUUAUAUGGCGGGCUCAUUUUGCUGAGUGUGACGUAUAGAGUAUCACGGGCAUGGAUGUCUGGGCGGCGAGAUCAUCGACUGAUCUGACGGGAGUGUCCAUCCGUGUGACGGUGAGGAAAGCCGCGAGGUUGGCGGUGUAGGUGGAGAUCAUGAUGAGGGUGAAGAACCACCAGAAGCCGCUCAACAUGCGGCCCGACGAUGCACGGGGGUUCG